rnacentral:rRNA from 1 species
GACGAACGCUGGCGGCGUGCUUAACACAUGCAAGUCGAACGGAAAGGCCCUGCUUUUGUGGGGUGCUCGAGUGGCGAACGGGUGAGUAACACGUGAGUAACCUGCCCUUGACUUUGGGAUAACUUCAGGAAACUGGGGCUAAUACCGGAUAGGAGCUCCUGCUGCAUGGUGGGGGUUGGAAAGUUUCGGCGGUUGGGUAUGGACUCGCGGCUUAUCAGCUUGUUGGUGGGGUAGUGGCUUACCAAGGCUUUGACGGGUAGCCGGCCUGAGAGGGUGACCGGCCACAUUGGGACUGAGAUACGGCCCAGACUCCAACGGGAGGCAGCAGUGGGGAAUAUUGCACAAUGGGCGGAAGCCUGAUGCAGCAACGCCGCGUGCGGGAUGACGGCCUUCGGGUUGUAAACCGAUUUCGCCUGUGACGAAGCGUGAGUGACGGUAAUGGGUAAAGAAGCACCGGCUAACUACGUG